GACAAGAAAUUGUGUACUCGCUUGGCUAAUGUUUUACUAGACCUAAAGAUUUUCCCUGCUCUGCUCUGUUAGGCGCUCCAUCUUCGGAUUCGAUGUCGGACGAUCUGAGAAAUAAGAGGAGGAAUAAUCCAGCAGAAGAAUUCGGUGACGAAGAACAAGGUGAUAUUUCUCUCGUGUGAACACAAUCAUUGUUUUCUUGAUGUUAUCACCCAUGUGUUAAUGUUGUAGAAGAUUUAUCAUUUGACUUCUUCUUUUAGGUUUAAUUUGUGUUUAGUUAUUGCCACAGAUUGUGAUGUUCAUAUAUGGGGAUUUUUUUGUCAAUUUUGUUGCUUCAAUAUGUAGGUGCGUGCUACUAUCCAUGUGGCAUAUCUAAUAGGUCAGACUGGUUUGCUAGCUUAAUUUUUUAGCUUGAUGUUUUCAUUUAGGGGUGUCCUCUUCAGCUGCAUCUUUUGUGCAGCUCCAAAAUUCUAUCUUUCAAAGCACUUAUUUCCAUGUUCUGUUUAUUAUUUUUAAGUCAUGAAAACUCUUUUCGGUGUGCUUGAUCACUCCACUUCCAUGUUUAUCCUUGCAGAAAAGAAUACCUUUAUCCUGAUAGGCAUGGAAACACCGGUUCGCAUUGAGUGCAUCAUCGCUAAUCAGCUACUAUUAGAGAGCAAGGGACAUAUAAGAAAUCUCCAGGCAGCUUCACUUAGAUGCAUCAUCUUCUGCUAGGAGUCAGCUUGAAGAACGACCUUCUCAAGUUAAUUCUUGGGUCAGUGUUUCGGCUUUUCUCCAUUGGUUCAUAAAAACCAUAUGGUAACUUGACUUUACAUAGAACCUGCUGCACUAUAACUUUGGUUUAAUCUGUCGAUAAUGCCCAUGAGUAUAUUCUUAGUGUAUGUUUGACCAGAUUGUUUUAAGUUGUGUUGUUCCUAUGCUUCAGGAGACUGCAACUGACAUGUUGUAUGGCGAAUAACCAAAUUUGUGGACAAAGACAAAGAGUUCAUCGCAAGGGGUGGUGUUUAGGAUAUAUACACAAAAGAGGAAACUUUUUUUGUACAAAACCAAAUUAUAUGAUGUAAUUGACCACUAUUUCUAAGAAAUGUUCAUCAUGUAUUCAGUACAUUUUAUUGUCACUUUUUUUGAAGGGUAGCUUUAUUCAUCAAACAUCACAAAGUGUGUGAUAGAGUUCAUCAAA